AUCCGAGUGCACGGGCGUUUUCCUUCUCCGUGAAGCGAUAAGCUGAGAGAGGAAUUUUGCUAGUUGAAAACUAUACACAAACCGCUCCUGUUUGAUUUAUUCGGGCAGGGAAUUUUUGGAACCUUUUUUC
rnacentral:snRNA from 1 species